UAGUCGUGCAGCACAGUAACGGCUGCGCAGUCUGCAGUGUUCUGGUAUGUCAUAUCCGUAUUCCUGUUUGUUUCAGGAGACGAAGCGUGAAGUCGCAAGUUUCACUUACGAAUGGCACCGCGCAUCGUUCCCGUGAUCUGCCUGUGACGCUUCUGCCCUUAAAAAUGGUCAACUGGCGCAGCUGGUGUAGAGCUUGUAGAGCUUCAUUCCGAUUUUGUCACUAAUUGGACCGUAGGCAUCUAAGCCGUGGACUAGAACACAACUUCGACAGAAGGGUCACUGAUGAUUGAUUUCUAUGAAGACACUAGGCAGCUGAAGUCUGCGUGUACUGCAAAGCAUAAGGAAAUCUGCCGAGUGUCGGAUGUAUGCAGUUGAAUGUUGGGGCGGUUGAUAUUAGUGAAGUGGGAUUUACGCGAAACGAAACGAGAGCUACAACUCCAAUGUUUGUCUGGAAGGAGCAAGAUAUAAGGUAUAUUGUGCUUGCUUCAUUUGUGCAACCGGCAGAUGACCCUACUUUAUAUUCAUUAAAGAAGCAAUGAAA